GCCCGGGCGAGCGGAGCGCUGCGCCGGCGGCCCAACGGGGACCUGAGCCCGCCAGGCUCUUCUGUCCAUGGAAUUCUCCAGACAAGAAAACUGGAGUGGGUUGCCAUUGCCUCCUCCAGAGGAUCUUCCCGACCCAGGGAUGGAAUCUGCGUCUCCUGCGUUGGCAGGCGGUUUCUUCACCACUGCGCCAGCUGGGAAGCCCAAGCACCUAUUUAGUCUUAAAUAUCCUUAUAUUUUAUCAUUCUGAUGUUUUCUCUUUUUUCAUUUGUCUUUUGAAUAGUCUGAAACAGCCCUGUUCUAAUGCUAACAAUUUUUUUUUUUUUUACAAAUAAUAAAAACAUUGGGUACUUGCCUGAAUAAGAA